rnacentral:rRNA from 1 species
GAUGAACGCUAGCUACAGGCUUAACACAUGCAAGUCGAGGGGCAGCAGGGAUUUAGCUUGCUAAAUUCGCUGGCGACCGGCGCACGGGUGCGUAACGCGUAUCCAACUUUCCCGUUACUCUCGGAUAGCCUUCCGAAAGGGAGAUUAAUACGAGAUGGUGUUCAGUUUCCGCAUGUUUGCUGAACUAAAGAUUUUAUCGGUGACGGAUGAGGAUGCGUACGAUUAGCUAGUUGGCGGGGUAACGGCCCACCAAGGCUACGAUCGUUAGGGGUUCUGAGAGGAAGGUCCCCCACACUGGAACUGAGACACGGCCCAGACUCCUACGGGAGGCAGCAGUGGGGGAUAUUGCGCAAUGGGGGAAACCCUGACGCAGCAAUGCCGCGUGAAGGAAGAAGGGUCUUCGGAUCGUAAAACUUUUGUCUUCAGGGACGAUAAUGACGGUACCUGAGGAGGAAGCCACGGCUAACUACGUG